rfam:Salmo salar isolate Sally breed double haploid chromosome ssa11, whole genome shotgun sequence.
UGCAUUCACUACUGUAACUCGCUCUGGAUAAGAGCGUCUGCUGAAUGUCUAAAA